rnacentral:tRNA from 1 species
GGUCCCAUAGCUCAGCGGAAGAGCGCUCGCCUCACACGCGAGAGGUCGCUGGUUCGAACCCAGCUGGGACCA